CAAUAGCGUAUAUUUAAGUUGUUGCAGUUAAAAAGCUCGUAGUUGGAUUUCGGAUGGGAUUUGCCGGUCCGUCGUUGCGAUGUGCACUGGCCAAUCCCAUCUUGUUGUCGGGGACUAGCUCCUGGGCUUCACUGUCCGGGACUAGGAGCUGACGAGGUUACUUUGAGUAAAUUAGAGUGUUCAAAGCAAGCCUACGCUCUGAAUACAUUAGCAUGGAAUAACACGAUAGGACUCUGGCUUAUCUUGUUGGUCUGUGAGACCAGAGUAAUGAUUAAGAGGGACAGUCGGGGACAUUCGUAUUUCAUUGUCAGAGGUGAAAUUCUUGGAUUUAUGAAAGACGAACUUCUGCGAAAGCAUUUGUCAAGGAUGUUUUCAUUAA
rnacentral:rRNA from 1 species